rnacentral:piRNA from 1 species
AACNGCUCCUCCUGCGCGUUCAGGUACAGG